rnacentral:rRNA from 1 species
CACGCUGUAAACUAUGAUCACUCGUUGUUGGAUGGCAACAUUCAGUGGCUAAGGGAAACCAUUAAGUGAUCCACCUGGGGAGUACGAUCGCAAGGUUGAAACUCAAAGGAAUUGACGGGGGCCCGCACAAGCGGAGGAGCAUGUGGUUUAAUUCGAUGAUACGCGAGGAACCUUACCCGGGCUUGAACGUGAGACGAAUAUAUAGGAAACUAUAUCGCCUUCGGGCGUCUUGCGAGGUGC